rnacentral:rRNA from 1 species
AUGUUGAUGCAAGACUACUUCGCGGAGAAUCCAACAUAUCCAUCGCACCUCUUCCGGAGAAGGUACCGAAUGCGUCGAUCCCUCUUUGUGAAAAUUGUUCAAGCUUGCGAGGCAAAUUGUCGGUAUUUUACUCAAAGAAGAAAUGCUGGCUUAAAGGGAUUUAGUGCAUAUCAAAAAAUCUCCGCAGCUAUGCGGGUGAUUGCAUAUGGCGCUCCGGCUGACUAUGCCGAUGAGUACCUUCGCAUUGGUGAAGAUACCACAAUUGAGUCAGUGCGUAGAUUCGCCAAAGUGAUCAUCCGUGUCUUUGGUCCUAAAUAUCCUCGGGCACCCAACGAGGAUGACACAAAGAAAUUGAUGACAUCUAAUGAGAGGAGAGGUUGGCCUGACAUGCUAGUGAAGGAAAUAUGCCCUAGAGGCAAUAAUAAAGUUGUUAUUUAUAUUUCCUUGUUUCAUGAUAAAUGUUUAUUAUUCAUGCUAGAAUUGUAUUAA